GGUCUGGUAGUGUAAUGGGAACACGCCUGUUGCUUAUACAGUGGAUGAAACAGAUUUCUGUAGGUGAUCAUUGUUCGAAUCAAGGUCAGGCCA